CACGUAGGCGGAUAUUUAAGUCAGGGGUGAAAUCCCAGAGCUCAACUCUGGAACUGCCUUUGAUACUGGGUAUCUUGAGUAUGGAAGAGGUAAGUGGAAUUCCGAGUGUAGAGGUGAAAUGCUUAGAUAUGACAUAGAACACCCAUUGCGAAGGCAGCUUACUACGGAUAUAUUGACACUGAGGCACGAAAGCGUGGGGAUCAAACA
rnacentral:rRNA from 1 species